AAACAAACUGUGUUAUGUAAUUUGAAGAGAUUCUAACGAAAUCUUCCAAUAAUAGAAAACAUUUUUGUAUUCUUAUAAAGAUGCAAGGCUUUGUGGCUUGAAUAUUGCACUUACGAUCUCUCGAUCGUGGUUUCGAUUCCAGGGCAGGGUGUUUUCCAGUUUAUUGUGCUGUAAAUGUGUUCUAGCAAUAGUUAAGAAGUUACCUCUGCAACGGACCAGCAUCCCGUUCAGGCGGGAGUGUUGUUAAUCCCUGUCACUUAUACGCCAUGGAAAGCGCAUUAAUCUCCAGACUUAUUAACCCUAGGAUUUAUGACAAACCUAAGUCUGAGAGAAGUCUAUAAGGAAAGCCUGAAAUUUAUAAGCUGGAGAAAUGGGCUUGAGAUGGUAAUUGCAAAAGGGGGCCAAAACAGGAAAGCAAAUCCAUGCAAGGCUCGAAUUUAUGUGAGAGAAAUACAAUGGAAGGCAACAAGUAUUUAUAUUAUUGAGAACAACUUUAUUUACAUUAAAGUAAACCAAAUGACAUUCAGUAUAUUACUGCAGCGCUGGAUUAACCAUUGAGCAAAAUAAGCACGUGUUUAGGGCACCAAGGGAAGUGAGGCACCACAGACAUGGUAAAUGGUUUACAGCACAAAAGAAAUUACUUUAAUCUUGCUAUAAUAAUAUUUGGGAUUAAUUUUGAGGAUCUGUUCAAAGACUUUGCAAAGAAGAAAAGAAGGAGAAAACUUUCCAAAUAUAAAUAAAAUGGAGGCACCGAAAUUUUUAAGGAGGAGGCCAGUCAAUUAGAUCGACCCCAGUACACAACUAGUACUUAAUUUAUCGACCCCAAAUGGAAAAAUUGACCUUGGAGGAAUUUGAACUCAUAGAAAGAAAAACCUGUCUUGGAACAAACUGAAAGACAUCCAUUAGACCUCGCUCUGAUUGCAGAAGAUUAAGGGUUAAGAUACAAAUGCAAAUAGUUAAACAAGGAUAACAUUUAUACUUCUGAUACUGACAAUCCAUAAAUGCUAUUAAAAUGUCAACUAGAUUAUAGAAAAAUCUGCAAUUUGAAGAUUUGAAGAAAAAGAUCUUUGAAACAAGAUCCCUUUUGAUCGGAAUUUUACUUUUUUCUUAUUUUCCCCCUUUUUUUUUAAAUUUUGAAAAAGGAAAGCUCUACAUUUGUAUUUGUCCCCUCUGUGUUCAGCCCUGUGUGGCCAAUAAAGCUGUGAAAGGUAGAUUAGCUGUUCAUUGCUGAUGACAUGAAACAACGCAGAAAUGCCUGCAACCUAUGAUUCAGUGACGUUCAUAGGUGCAGGUAUGGCUGUGUGUUUCUUACUUGUGAAUGUUUCUUAACCAGAGAUCUCCAAUUUUAUAUCCAAAUAUUGCAUCAUUUUAAAUAUUUUUCA